rnacentral:rRNA from 1 species
GAUGAACGCUGGCGGCGUGCCUAAUACAUGCAAGUCGAGCGAACAGACGAGGAGCUUGCUCCUCGGACGUUAGCGACGGACGGGUGAGUAACACGUGGAUAACCUACCUAUAAGACUGGGAUAACUUCGGGAAACCGGAGCUAAUACCGGAUAAUAUAUUGAACCGCAUGGGUGAAUAGUGAAAGACGGUUUUGCGGUCACUUAUAGAUGGAUCUGGGCCGCAUUAGCUAGUUGGUAAGGUAACGGCUUACCAAGGCAACGAUGCGUAGCCGACCUGAGAGGGUGAUCGGCCACACUGGAGCUGAGACACGGUCCAGAGUCCUACGGGAGGCAGCAGUAGGGAAUCUUCCGCAAUGGGCGAGAGCCUGACGGAGCAACGCCGCGUGAGUGAUGAAGGUCUUCGGAUCGUAAAACUCUGUUAUUGGGGAAGAACAAAUGUGUAAGUAACUAUGCACGUCUUGACGGUACCUAAUCAGAAAGCAACGGCUAACUACGUG